GCCCCUGUGAUGCAACGGGUAGACAUCGCUUGCUUAAAACAAGUGUGUUGCAGGUUCGAUUCCUGUCAGGGGUA
rnacentral:tRNA from 1 species